GCGUGGGCGGCCGGGAGCCGGCCGGGCCGGUCUCAGCGCGCCCGGCCGAGGGACCCCGCGGGCUGCUCUGAGGCACCGCGACCGCGGGGCGCUGGCAGCCCCGUGCUAAGCGAGCGGCGUGAAGGCCGCCGAGCUGGGGCCUCUCCCCAGGCGGCCGUGGCGGCGCAGGCCCGCGUGAGGCCGAGUGCGUUCAGCCGGCCCCGGCCCCGGCCGUGGGGCGGUGCUGCCCCGCCCCCCAGCGGCGGGAGGGCGCGGUAGGCCCUGUGGAGAGAGCCCCUGGGCUGGCCUCCCGCCCCCUUGCCCCGAGCACCGGGCUGAACGUGAGACUGUCACACGGGCCAGACUGGGUCGGAGCAGGGUCCGCAGCCCAGUGUCCUGUCCGGCCAGGGCCAGGCGCCCCCAGGGAGUGAACGGGACAGGGAGUCCUCGAGCGAUCCGUCCCCCGUCGCCCAUUCCCAGCUCUGGCAAGCAGAGGCUCGGGACGCCCUCCCUGCCCAGCCUGGCUAAUAGCCAUCGGUGGACCUGGCCUCCAUGAACUUGUCUGGUUCUUUUUUGUACGGUUAUAGUCAGGUGACCCUGCUGAUCAUCAGCCUGUGGGCCCUUGGCAGGGGAGAUGACAGCGGAAGAGGGAGAGUGACCCGGGGGGGGAGACGUGGCCCCUGCUGGCAGAUCCCACACUACAAGAAGGAUGUGGAUAAAUUGGAGAGAGUCCAGCGAAGGGCAACAAAAAUGAUUAGGGGUCUAGAGCACAUGACUUAUGAGGAGAGGCUGAGGGAGCUGGGAUUGUUUAGUCUGCGGAAGAGAAGAAUGAGGGGGGAUUUGAUAGCUGCUUUCAACUACCUGAAAGGGGGGUCCAAAGAGGAUGGAUCUAGACUGUUCUCAGUGGUAGCAGAUGACAGAACAAGGAGUAAUGGUCUCAAGUUGCAGUGGGGGAGGUUUAGGUUGGAUAUUAGGAAAAACUUUUUCACUAAGAGGGUGGUGAAACACUGGAAUGCAUUACCUAGGGAGGUGGUAGAAUCUCCUUCCUUACAGGUUUUUAAGGUCAGGCUUGACAAAGCCCUGGCUGGGAUGAUUUAACUGGGAAUUGGUCCUGCUUUGAGCAGGGAGUUGGACUAGAUAACCUUCUGGGGUCCCUUCCAACCCUGAUAUUCUAUGAUUCUAUGAUUCCCUCUCACCGGCUGACCCUGGUGGUACUGCUUGGGAGAUAGCCUCGGGGCAGGCAUAGAGCUAGAGCUAAGCACGGGGCUGGAGCAUAGCUGCUUCCCGUCAGUUCUGGAUCAGGUUUCCUCUUGGGGGGCGGGGGCAGUGCUGCUGCUCUGCCCCGUUUACUGCCCCCCCCCCCCCGGGGAAAGUUCAGUGGGAGGAGCUGGCUGAGGAGCAGGGUUUGGGGUUUUUUUUUUUUGUGGGGGCGGGGGUUUAUUGGUGCUGUUCCUCCCCUAGAGGAGCCCAUUGUGGAGGAGUCUGCCUGUGUCCUUAACAUCUGCCCCCGCAGUUGGUGCCAAGAUUGAGAUUUCUGCCUCGCCAGUGGGGCAAACUCUGUGAGUGGGGAUCUCUCAGACUGUUUGGGAGCGAUCAGGGCUCUGGGUCUAGCUGACCUAUGUGGGGAUGAUCAUCUCCCUAGUCUGGGCGCUGAAGCUAUUAUGGUGACACCUCUCUUCCUCCUCCUGCCCUUGACCCUGCCCUACCCUGGAGGCGCCCCUCAACCCUGGUCUCUGCCCAGUAAAUGAUGGUGCAGGCCUUUCAACCGUUGAGCCCGUUGUUGUAGCAGCAUUGGCUGGCACCGAGCAGUGAGGUGCCAGGCAUUCUGAGAUGUCCUCCUCUAAGGCGGAGCAGCUCGGUCUCAAGCCCAUUCAAGAUCUAGGGUCCAGGGCCUUCCAAGGGGAUUGGUGAUGCUGGAUUCAUGGGCUCUGAGCCUGUUGAGGUGGCACCAGCUCCCAGCCCUGAGCCUCUUUAACUCAGCACUUGGGGCAAGAAUGAAGGGUCUGUUAGUUCUGUUGAGCCUAGCAUGGUGGUGUUGCAGACACUGCAGCCCUGAGGGGGGUUCUAGACGUAUGCCCUCCAUCAAUGACCAGUAGCUGGACCUGGGGAGCAGUGCCGGGGACUGGAGGUAAUUAGACCCAGACAGGACCCUGGGAGUGAAGUCAAUGCCUGUGAGGAAGAGGGAGCUUGCCUAGGAGUUGGGACUUAUAUAGGGGACCAAGGGGCAGGGGACUGGAAGAGACUACAGCCAAGCCCAGGCUGAGGGUCGACUGACUAGUGGCCACCACUAACAUCCUCAGAGGGAUUCUUGACCAUCAUGCCUUGGUGGGUGUUUGGCACAACCGGCACCCAGACAACACCACCUCCUUCAGCUUUGUCUGGGUGGAAUUGCGCCAAUCACAGUUGGACAGAAUUUACAUUUCAUGCUUUAACAUGGGCCUGUUCCUCUGACAUUCGGCUGACCCCCUACUCAGACUAUCAUUUAGUUUUUGUGAAUGUUGCUCUUAUACCUGAGUGGUUGGGGGUGGCUUAUUGGCAUUUUAAUAACAGCCUGUUGGAGGAUGUGGGCUCUGUGGAGUCCUUGUAGGAAUUUUAGCUGACUUGGCAAGGGAAGAAGUAUGCCUUUCCCUCAGCAUGGACAAGCUCCAGGCCAUUGACGGCCAUUUGGCCCAUGGUACUUUUGUCUGGUUGUGUAUCCAACUCCUUCAGGAGGUGGAUCACAGCUCCCACUUCUGUGCCCUGGAGAAGAGGAUGGGUGCUAAAAAAUACCUGUCUUCUGACAGAGGACAGUACCUCUCUUACAGAUCUGGAGAAGAUGCAAGAAAGGGCUAGGGCUUUCUAUGCUGACCGUUUCUCUCUGGAUCCGAAGGCAGUGCUUGUGGGGUCCUGCCAGAUAAACUCCCAAUGGGAUACCAGGAAGGGAACAGGGAUGCCACAACAGGAUCAGGACCACAGCUGGAACCGGAGCAGAAGAGGACAACAACCAGGAACACAACAGACUGGACGAUGAGGAUUAGGAACAGGAUCAGGACCACACUUGGGAACAGCUCCAGCCUCUUUCCUGCUCAAGCCUCUGGACUAUGGACUUAUACUAAUGGGAGCAUUUUGUGACACUGUGGACCUUCCAGUGAUUUGGAAGCAACCAGAGACUUGACUUCAGCCAGCAGUUUAUUCCAUCACUGCUACAAGCCUGAUCCAAGAACUUUGCAAUUAUUGUAUGUAUUUGAUUUCUUUAACCAAUUUUAAUUUUCUUUCUUUCUUUCUUUCCUUCUUUAAAUAAACUUUUAGAUUUUAGAUACU